AACAAACGCUGGCGGCAUGCCUAACACAUGCAAGUCGAACGAGACCUUCGGGUCUAGUGGCGCACGGGUGCGUAACGCGUGGGAACCUGCCCUUAGGUUCGGAAUAACUCCCCGAAAGGGGUGCUAAUACCGGAUAAUGUCUUCGGACCAAAGAUUUAUCGCCUUUGGAUGGGCCCGCGUUGGAUUAGCUAGUUGGUAGGGUAAAAGCCUACCAAGGCGACGAUCCAUAGCUGGUUUGAGAGGAUGAUCAGCCACACUGGGACUGAGACACGGCCCAGACACCCCCGGGGGGGGCAGGGGGGGGAAAUUGGAGACAGGGGGAAAACCUGUGACCCAAAUGUCGCGGGAGGGUGAUAAGGGUUUGGGGUGUAAAGCGCUUUUUUCCCGGGGAUUAAAAAGAGUGCCGGGGGAAAAAGCGCCCGGGAAAACCCC
rnacentral:rRNA from 1 species